CAGCCGCCGCGGGAAUACGGAGGGAGCUAGCGUUGUUCGGAAUUACUGGGCGUAAAGCGCACGUAGGCGGCUUUGUAAGUUAGAGGUGAAAGCCUGGAGCUCAACUCCAGAAUUGCCUUUAAGACUGCAUCGCUUGAAUACAGGAGAGGUGAGUGGAAUUCCGAGUGUAGAGGUGAAAUUCGUAGAUAUUCGGAAGAACAUCAGUGGCGAAGGCGGCUCACUGGACUGGUAUUGACGCUGAGGUGCGAAAGCGUGGGGAGCAAACAAGAUUAGAUACCCGCGUAGUCCCUGUCUCUUAUAA
rnacentral:rRNA from 1 species